GCCGGAGUGGCGGAAUUGGCAGACGCAAGGGACUUAAAAUCCCUCGGGGAGUGAUCCCCGUACCGGUUCAAGUCCGGUCUUCGGCACCA
rnacentral:tRNA from 2 species